UACUAGAGUAGCACUCGCAUAUCCAUAAGCGGAGGAAAAGAAACUAACAAGGAUUCCCCUAGUAACGGCGAGUGAAGCGGGAAGAGCUCUAAUUUGAAAUCUUAAAGGGUUUCCCUUUACGAAUUGUAGUUUAAAGAAGUGUUUUCUGUUGAGGUUUUGGUAAAAGUUCUUUGGAAUAGGACAUCAUAGAGGGUGAGAAUCCCGUAUUUGACCUUUACUUUCAACUUUGUGAUACACUUUCAAAGAGUCGGAUUGUUUGGGAAUGCAGUCCAAAAUGGGUGGUAAAUUUCAUCUAAAGCUAAAUAUUGGCGAGAGACCGAUAGUGAACAAGUACCGUGAGGGAAAGAUGAAGAGAACUUUGAAAAGAGAGUUAAACAGUACGUGAAAUUGUCAAAAGGGAAGCGUUUGACACCAGUGUUGUUUUUCUGAAAAUCAAUUAAAGAACUGUUUAUGCUAAGUUGUUUAGACUUUAUCAGCUAACUGUUUAGUUUUGAGCUUUUCUUUAAUGCACUUUUCAGUUAACAAGUCAACAUCAAUUUCUUUUGCUGUAAAAAAGCUUGAGGAAGGUGGCUUGAGAUUCGUCUUAAGUGUUUAUAGCCUCUUGCCUAUGCAGUCGGAGAGAUUGAGGUCUGCAGCGUAGAUCCUUCGGGGCUAAAUGCAUUUGUGCUAAGUUAUAGCAUUUUAUAGACAACUUGUUGACUAUGAUUUGUCUUGUAGCUUACUCGCUUAUGUUAUUUUACCUACGCUUAGGAUGUUGAGCGCAUGUCUCUCUCU
rnacentral:rRNA from 1 species